ACUUAUAUAGUUUAUAAAAAUAUCAAUUUGUGGAAUUGGAGAGAUAAGGAAUUAUUGUAAGUA
rnacentral:tRNA from 1 species